rnacentral:lncRNA from 1 species
CCUCCGACAUUAAGGAUCCCAGCAAGAAGAGUAAAGUAACUGCAAUAGUGGCAGGGUCUGUUAGUGCCGCGGUAGCGAUAUUAGCCAUUGUCUCGUUUGCCAUUUGGAGAUGGAGGAGAGGGGCAACUGUAACAACAAAAGAAGUGGAGGGUUCACUGAUAGCCUUUGCAUACCGGGACUUGCAAGUAGCAACAAAGAAUUUCUCAGAGAAGUUGGGUGGGGGUGGGUUUGGUUCAGUUUUCAAAGGAACAUUACUUGAUUCAAGUCACAUAGCGGUCAAGAAGCUUGAAAGCAUAAGCCAAGGUGAGAAGCAAUUCCGAAUGGAAGUAAGCACAAUCGGCACCAUCCAGCAUGUGAAUCUUGUCAGGCUUCGCGGAUUCUGCUCUGAAGGUG